AUUUAUAUAGUAUAUCAGUAUACGUGACUUCCAAUCACGAGGACUAAAAAAUUUUAGUAUAAAUA
rnacentral:tRNA from 1 species